rnacentral:rRNA from 1 species
GACAGAGGUGCCGAGCGUUAGGCGGAAUCACUGGGCUUAAAGCGUGUGUAGGCGGAUCCGUAAGCACCUUGUGAAAUCCCACGGCUCAACCGUGGAACUGCUUGGUAUACUGCGGGUCUUGAGCCACCUAGGGGCGAGCGGAACAAGUGGUGGAGCGGUGAAAUGCGUAGAUAUCACUUGGAACGCCAAUGGUGAAAACAGCUCGCUGGGGGUGUGCUGACGCUGAGACACGAAAGCCAGGGGAGCAAACGGG